rfam:Oryza glumipatula chromosome 5, whole genome shotgun sequence.
AAAAAGAUAAAUUCUAGGUUUGUGUCUAACAUUUAACUGUCCGUCUUAUAUGAAAUUUUUUUAUAAUUAGUAUUUUCAUUGUUGUUAGAUGAUAAAACAUGAUUAAUAUUUUAUGCGUGACUUGUCUUUUUAUUUUUUUCAAAUAAGACGGACGGUCAAAUGUUGGACACGGAAACCCAGGGUUUGUCUUUUU